UAUUUAAUUGUUUUUAGCAUAACAUUUUUUUUUGACGGGGCAUAACAUGUUUUUAUACACUAUAAAGUGGAUCAAAUUAUAUUUUAGUUAUUACAUGCAAAGUGAAAAGGUAUGGUUAAAAUUCUCAAAUUUAUGUUUGCUAUGGUUUUAUUUCUUUCACUUUUUCUUGUUACAAAGAACAUUGAAGCAUACCCUGUAUGUAUAACUGUUGAAGAUUGUCCAAAAAGUUGGUUCCGCAAGUAUAAGUGCAUUAACAACCAAUGUAGAUAUAAAUUAAUUAAUCUAGAGUAGCAACCGAUUGUAUGAGUACUAGAUCCAGGAGUGUACACUUACGCCAUGCAAGGAAGAAUAAGUUCUUGCACGGGCAAAAAAUUAUGGAAUAUAUUUUAUACCAAAAUACUACAUGUAUAGUUGCCAUUUAAUUAUUGUGCUGGCACCCUAUAAUUGUUAUUUUAUUUAUUUUUAUGAUCUGACGGAUCUUGUAAUUUUAUCUUUAUACUUCUAACUUAAUUAAUGAUUCGGGUUCGAUUCUUGACUUGGACAUGUAGCAGUGUUAAAAUUCUUAGGGAGAGUUUGUCAUCA